GACGAACGCUGGCGGCGUGCUUAACACAUGCAAGUCGAACGGAAAGGCCCUGCUUUUGUGGGGUGCUCGAGUGGCGAUCGGGUGAGUAUCACGUGAGUAACCUGCCCUUGACUUUGGGAUAACUUCAGGAAACUGGGGCUAAUACCGGAUAGGAGCCCCUGCUGCAGGGAGGGGGGUGGAAAGUUGCGGCGGUGGGGGAUGGACUAGCGGCUUAUCAGCUUGUUAGUGGGGUAGGUGCUUACCAAGGCUUUGACGGGUAGCCGGCCUGAGAGGGUGACCGGCCACAUUGGGACUGAGGUACGGCCCAGACUCCUACGGUAGGCAGAAGUGGGGAAUAUUGCACAAUGGGCGGAAGCCUGAUACAGCAGCGCCGCGUGCGGAAUGACGGCCUUCGGGUUGUAAACCGCUUUCGCCUGUGACGAAGCGUGAGUGACGGUAAUGGGUAAAGAAGCACCGGCUAACUACGUG
rnacentral:rRNA from 1 species